rnacentral:rRNA from 1 species
UAGGGAAUCUUCGGCAAUGGACGAAAGUCUGACCGAGCAACGCCGCGUGAGUGAAGAAGGUUUUCGGAUCGUAAAACUCUGUUGUUAGAGAAGAACAAGGACGUUAGUAACUGAACGUCCCCUGACGGUAUCUAACCAGAAAGCCACGGCUAACUACGUGCCAGCAGCCGCGGUAAUACGUAGGUGGCAAGCGUUGUCCGGAUUUAUUGGGCGUAAAGCGAGCGCAGGCGGUUUCUUAAGUCUGAUGUGAAAGCCCCCGGCUCAACCGGGGAGGGUCAUUGGGAACUGGGAGAAUUGAGUGCAGAAGAGGGGAGUGGAAGUCCAUGUGUAGCGGUGAAAUGCGUAGAUAUAUGGAGGAACACCAGUGGCGAAGGCGGCUCUCUGGUCUGUAACUGACGCUGAGGCUCGAAAGCGUGGGGAGCAAACAGG